rnacentral:rRNA from 1 species
GAUGAACGCUGGCGGCGUGCCUAAUACAUGCAAGUCGAGCGAACGGACGAGAAGCUUGCUUCUCUGAUGUUAGCGGCGGACGGGUGAGUAACACGUGGAUAACCUACCUAUAAGACUGGGAUAACUUCGGGAAACCGGCGCUAAUCCCGGAUAAUCUUUUGAACCGCAUGGUUCAAAAGUGAAAGACGGUCUUGCUGUCACUUAUAGAUGGAUCCGCGCUGCAUUAGCUAGUUGGUAAGGUAACGGCUUACCAAGGCAACGAUGCAUAGCCGACCUGAGAGGGGGGUCGGCGACACUAGAACUUAGACACGGUCCAGACGCCUACGGGAGGCAGCAGUAGGGAAUCUGCCGCAAUAGGCGAAAGCCUGACGGAGCAACGCCGCGUGAGUGAUGAAGGUCUUCGGAUCGUAAAACUCUGUUAUUAGGGAAGAACAUAUGUGUAAGUAACUGUGCACAUCCUGACGGUACCUAAUCAGAAAGCCACGGCUAACUACGUG